rnacentral:rRNA from 1 species
UGGGGAAUAUUGGACAAUGGGCGAAAGCCUGAUCCAGCCAUGCCGCGUGUGUGAAGAAGGUCUUCGGAUUGUAAAGCACUUUAAGUUGGGAGGAAGGGAAGUAAGCGAAUACCUUGCUGUUUUGACGUUACCGACAGAAUAAGCACCGGCUAACUCUGUGCCAGCAGCCGCGGUAAUACAGAGGGUGCAAGCGUUAAUCGGAAUUACUGGGCGGAAAGCGCGCGUAGGUGGUUCGUUAAGUUGAAUGUGAAAGCCCCGGGCUCAACCUGGGAACGGCAUCCAAAACUGGCGAGCUAGAGUAGGGCAGAGGGUGGUGGAAUUUCCUGUGUAGCGGUGAAAUGCGUAGAUAUAGGAAGGAACACCAGUGGCGAAGGCGACCACCUGGGCUCAUACUGACACUGAGGUGCGAAAGCGUGGGGAGCAAACAGG